rnacentral:lncRNA from 1 species
UUUAAUUCCUGAAAUUUAUUUUCUUUAAACUCAAAUUCAAUUCUUGCAGUGAAACGAUCCAGAAUACACUCUAAACCACGAAAGUCUUCCUUCUCCGUCUCGCUCUUCAAUUUGCAGUUCCAUUCACAGCUACUCUGUCACAUCGCAACACAUCGCAACCCCAAAUGGCGAUCUUCACAACCCUAACCAAUGCCAACUCCGCCGUCCCCCUCAUCCUCCUCCUCAUCUUAANNNNN